rnacentral:rRNA from 1 species
AGUGAACGCUGGCGGUAGGCCUAACACAUGCAAGUCGAACGGCAGCACAGGAGAGCUUGCUCUCUAGGUGGCGAGUGGCGGACGGGUGAGGAAUACAUCGGAAUCUGCCCAGUCGUGGGGGAUAACGUAGGGAAACUUACGCUAAUACCGCAUACGACCUUCGGGUGAAAGUGGGGGAUCGCAAGACCUCUCGCGAUUGGAUGAGCCGAUGUCGGAUUAGCUAGUUAGCGGGGUAAUGGCCCACCAAGGCGACGAUCCGUAGCUGGUCUGAGGGGAUGAUCAGCCACACUGGAACUGAGACACGGUCCAGACUCCUACGGGAGGCAGCAGUGGGGAAUAUUGGACAAUGGGCGCAAGCCUGAUCCAGCCAUACCGCGUGGGUGAAGAAGGCCUUCGGGUUGUAAAGCCCUUUUGUUGGGAAAGAAAUCUUUCAGGCUAAUACCCUGGGAGGAUGACGGUACCCAAAGAAUAAGCACCGGCUAACUUCGUG